GACGAACGCUGGCGGCGCGCUUAACACAUGCAAGUCGAGCGAGAACCUAGGCUCGGCCUAGGGGACAGCGGCGAACGGGUGAGUAACACGUGGGUAAUCUGCCCUCGGCAUCAGGAUAGCCCGGGGAAACCCGGAUUAAUACCGAAUGGCCCAUCCGCUUUUCGGAGCGGCUGGAAAAGGUAGCUUUGGCCUCCGGCCGAGGACGAGCCCGCGGCGGAUUAGCUUGUUGGUGGGGUAAUGGCUCACCAAGGCGACGAUCCGUAGCUGGUCUGAGAGGACGAUCAGCCACACUGGGACUGAGACACGGCCCAGACUCCUACGGGAGGCAGCAGUGGGGAAUCUUGCGCAAUGGGCGAAAGCCUGACGCAGCGACGCCGCGUGCGGGAAGAAGGCCU
rnacentral:rRNA from 1 species